ensembl:processed_transcript 4933439C10Rik RIKEN cDNA 4933439C10 gene
AGUAUACUCACCGCUGCGCAGCGUCCCGGUUGGCGGGCCGCGUAGGCCGGGCCGCCGCGGAAAGGAAAGGCCGGAGCCCUCCGGCUCCCUCCCCUGGGACACUUCCUGCACCGCUCUAGGACCGAGGAGGUCUCCUCAUCUCAGUGGUUCGCUUCCCCGCCUCCUGGCCGAGGUGUACGCGGGGGGGUGACAUCCGACACCCCCGGCCCGCCUGGACCGCCCCGCCCCGCCCCGCUCCGUGCUCUCCCGGCCUGGGCCCGGGGCCCGGGCUUUAGCUUUGUGGGCCUUCCUAGCGGGCUCGGGAUGCGCGCGCGCGCCCCGGCGGGACCCGGGCGCUGGGGGCCAGUUCGCGCGGCCACCAGCCAGGGAGGCCGGCUUGGGGCUUUGCUCUUCUCUGCUCCUCUUGUGUGGGCGCAGGGAAGGGCUGGUCUGGCGGCGCUGGCGAAAUGCCAGAAUUGGGAGGAGGAGGGAUGAGGUGUAAGGGGAUCUCCCAGUGACCAUUUGCAUCCCGUGUGUGCUGUUGUGCCCCAAUCCCUUCCAGCCGCAAUUCCAUUUCAAAGCCAACGCUGCCAGAGCCACCCAAAUCGGUAGGACUGGAGAAAUGCAGACCCAGCGAUCCACGGUGCUCGCCGAAGCAGCGGCCCGCGGCUUCGUGGCAUGGAGAUGAUCUACGAUUUCUCUGUUUAAGGAAGACUGUAGCACUCUGGGUCCCUCUGAGCACCAGGAUAGUCCUGGUACAUGGUAGGAAGUCACCCUUAAAGAAGGUGGUUUGAUAGAGACACCCCACCACCGGCAGACUUCGUGCUUCCGUUUCCUUCUAAUAAUUGGGACUGGGACGAUCUCUUCCGACUAGUAGAACCUGGAAUAGGGACUAAUAGACUGGAAUCGGAGCACCUGUGUUAAAUCACACCCAUCAAGGCGCAGUCAGGUGAUCUAAGGCCUGCGUGACCUCUCUGUGCUUCAGGGAUCGCAUUUGGAUGCAUGUGCAAGCUGUGCUGUAGCACCUCAGGUCCUGAAUCUUUAGGACUUGCUGGAGCUCAUUGCUGAUCUAUUUUGGCAGGUACGGGAUACUCAAAGUAUUUAUCGUUCUCCUUGCUGUAUACAAUUGGUUCUAUUCUUUUGUAUGACUCCAAGAGGUUAAGUUACAUGUUCCUCUGAUGUUUGUGAUCCUGUGCGUCUAGCUGCCUCCGUAGUGUCAUUGAUCUUACCUGAGCUCUCAUACUCAUUCUCUCUCACUUCUCUCCCCUCCUCCUGGUCCUCUUGCUUCCCUCCAGCCUCCUUUAGAACUCAUUAUCUUUUAGAGUAAUACCACCCUUAACCAGUAGUUUAACUCCCCACUCCCUCAAAGGGGACUCAUUUGUCUCACUAGUGCUUAUACAUGUGUUACUGUAAUAAAGUAAGUUUUUUAAAUGU